UAGCCUAGUGGUUUAGGCUAUGGAUCGCCAAUCCGGAGACGGCGGGUUCGAUUCCCGU
rfam:Aedes albopictus isolate Foshan contig118893, whole genome shotgun sequence.